rnacentral:lncRNA from 10 species
UGGAGUUUGCGCCCAGCGUUCGCUGGAGGGCCGUUUGAAGAAUGAUUGUUGUCGUAAAGGCCUUUGAUAAUAAUAGAUACUGUUUACCCAGUGCUUGAUGCCAGGCAUUGCUACAAACACUGCGUACACAUUAUUCUAUUUAAUCUUCAUAACCCAGUGAGGAUAUCAACCAGGAUAUGGCAUUGCAUUGGAUCCCAACCAGGAUAUGACGUUACAUUGGAUCCCAACCAGGAUAUGGCAUUGCACUGGAUCCCAACCAGGAUAUGGCAUUGCACUGGAUCCCAACCAGGAUAUGGCAUUGCGUUGGAUCCCAACCAGGUUAUGGCAUUACAUUGGAUCCCAACCAGGUUAUGGCAUUGCAUUGGAUCCCAACCAGGAUAUGACAUUGCAUUUACUCAUCACGCCUCCUUAGGUUCCUCUUGGCUGUGACGGUUUCUCAGACUAUCCUUGUUUUUUAGGACCUUGACAGUUUUGAGGCAUACUGGUGAGUGUUUUGUAAAACAUACUUCUAUUGGGAGUUGUCUGAUGUUUUUCUUACGAUUAGACUGGGGUUAUAGGUUUUUAGGAGGAAGGCCACAUGUGACAUUUUUAUAAUAUAAUUUUCUACAGGAAGAAAAUUCGGACUUUUCUCUACCAUGAUUGAUGGGCUUUUCUUACAUUGUUAGUUUUGAUUCAAAAUCAAAACUAUGUGGAUGGGUACCAAAUUCAUUGCUUUUCAUUUUAAAUGAAUGCUGAUUGGAAAAAUUUUCAGUGGUAAACCUACCGGCUAUGUCCAUUUCACUCCGUGUUUCUCUUCCCCUGCCCAUCUCCUAAGAUGCCUUAGGAGAGGGGAAAUAUGAUCUCUGGCCUUGAACCUCCUGCCAGGAUGCUAGAUAAGUUGACAGAGAGGGUGGAGAAAUAUACCUGAAGGCAUUCCUGUGCGGAGAAAGCUAGAGCUAUACAUGCAAGUCCCUGUGAAUUCCGUAACUACAUCUCCCCAGACCCAAAGAAAUG